AUUUAUUCCUCCUUUAUUUCACAUUAAAGCAUGAAUUAAAUGGAAUUAAUUAUUGGAGUAGAAUGUUGGGGUAUCCAAUGUUCUAUUCACACCCUUUUAUAUAGUACUCUUUCUACUGUUCAUGACAUGAACAUUGCAAAGAGAAACAUUGAAGGACAUAUUUUUUCUAUCUAUUUGUAAGGACUGAGAUUUUUGACUGUGCAACUAAACUCUCGGUUGAUGAUGUUUAUGUGUGUAAUUUAAUUACAUAAGCACUCGUCAAGUUUCGGGAGAAACUGAGCUAAAACGGAGAAGUUACGCAAUUAUUAGUUUUCACUUAAAGUGAAUAGUAACUCCGGUUUUCCGGAGAAGCCACAGAGUAGAGUUGGCUUUCGGCGCGUAUCGGACUCCGAGCAUAGGACUCCAAUAGCUCAUUUCGACCGGUUCAGCUGUUCUGGGACUAAUGGCGCUGACGGAUUUUGAGUUUGAUGCACGGAUUUCGAGAAAAUCCAAUAAAACGUGUUUUAUAUGUAAUUGUGCGUGAUAUUUGGCCUUUUGGACAGAGAGUGGAUUUCGUCGCAAAUCCGCGACCGUUUGAGGUGAAACGAAAUCGUAGCUUUGUUGUCUCCGAGGUGCUGAUCGUACUGGUGCAAUCCGUUCGCAAAUCCGACGGACGGAUCUGCGGAGAUCGCACGUUGAUCGAGGAGAGGUCGGUGAGGGCAAAUUGGUAUUUUUGCGAAAGUCGCGAUAUUUUAUGUACCGUUUUGUGUGAGAUCGCACGUGGAGGGGUAUUCACGCAUUUUACUCAGGCUGGGAUGGAUUUAGCUUGAAAUAGUAAGUCUAGGUGGACUUUCUU
rnacentral:lncRNA from 1 species